GAGCCUGAACCAAAAGUUAACACAGCCAAGAAGUAAGGAGACUUGGUCAGGGUGGAGAAUGCCACGGUGGACAACGUGGACAGUUUCCCGUGGUUUCCCCACGGGUCACAUGGAAGCUCUCGGAUGCCCACCGGCCCUCACCAGCUCUUCUCCCAUAUUUUGCUUUUGCUGCCUUAAAUCACACCGUUGAAAACCAAGGGAUAACCGAGUGUCUCCAUUUUAUACAGCGGAAACUCUACUUCUGAGGAUGCCCUUCCAAAUAUGAUGUAUCCAAGAAACGGACAAAGAAUCCAAAGGUGGAAUAUCAAACAAAUGAGUUUGCAAACUACCCGGCCUAGGACGCCGCUGAGAAGGGGAGUAUCCAUCGCGUGCAAGUGUCCCUGAACGAGGCCUUGGAAGGCGCAGGGUCCCAGGCUGCACACACAGCCGGACAACCGAGCAGCACUCAACCGCGAGGCCUGAGGCCUUCGGGCAGACCGCGCAGCUCCCGCAGCCGCUGGGCUGACAGGGCGCUGCGCUGCAGGGCACCCGGGGCUCCGGGAGGGCACUGCGGUCGCACCCCCCGGCCGGCCGGCCGCGGAAGGGUGGUCCGGUGUCCCGGGUGGCGGUGAAGAGCCGAGGCCCGUGAUCGUCGGCGCCUAUGCUGAGCCGGGAGCCCUCCCGGUCUCCUCGGGAUACCGGGUUCCCUCCCCGGGCUCGCCGCUGCGCCCUCCCCGCAGGCUGCUCCAGCCCCGUAGGUCGCCGUCCGAGCCCCCUCGCACGCCCGCGCACAGCGGGCCGCCGUAACCCCUGACCCUGCCAGCACCCCGGCUUACCGGCUCCGCCACCUCCACACACGCCGCGCCGGCGACUCCAUAUCCCAGGAGCCAGCGGCGACCCAGUCAACCUCCUGCCCUCCCGUGAUUGGCCGGCCGGGCGGGAGCCCCCCUCUCCUGAUUGGCUGGACUCCUGCAGCUGCGGGAUUGCGUGGCCGGCGGACCGGGAACGGAGGCUCCGCCCAUCCGAGCUGCCUGGGGGCGGGGCCUGAGCGGGGGCGGGGCUGAUCCGGAGGCGUGAUUCCGCCGGGCGCGCCACGGUCCUCGCAGUUCAAACCUUCGGCGUUCUUAUAUUGGCAACUCCCAUCCCCGGAAUGCUCGGGACAUAUACAUUUUUGUCAUAGUUCCCGCCACUUCCUUUUAGGCAGCUACACGCCUUUUUCCUCCUAAGAGAUGAUAACUCCGAGAAACAGCUACACUCGAUCCUAAGGCGCCAUGGCAGUCCCUAUUAGCUUCUUGAGCCACUGCUCGGUGCCCACUGACGCGCCAAGAACACCCCACGCCUGGGAGGAACCGAGAAACUUCGACCAGUGGAGCCAGUUCGGCUGCACCCGUCGUCCUACUCCCAAGACUCACAGUGAUCCCACCUGGCUCUGUCUCUUCUCCACACAUUUUAUCCUGCCUGCCCCCAAAACAGUCCCACUCCAUCCCCGGCCUCAGCCUCACCUCUUCGCAGUUUUAUGACCUGACAACCCCCCGCCCCAAGUUGCCACCGAAAAGGACUUCUCGAUUUCCCCUACAACAGUAUAGAUGACAGCCCUGUUUUCUUCAUAUAGAAACUGCCGGGAGAAAUGUUCAUUAUUUGGUAAGAACGGAGAUAGGAAGAAAGGGUAAACCCUAAAGAUGGAAACUUUAAAAAAAAAAAAAAAAUGACAGCAAAAGCAAACAGAAAGGCCCCUGGCUGGGGCUGCUGCUCUUCAUACAGAAUCGUCACCUGAAAGAAGAGAAACUACAAAUUAAUCUUGGCCGCCUCUCCAGCUCAUCCGUGGCGUUGGAGAAAGGCUUCUUAAAUGCCUUCGAGCCCAGAACCUUUCUUCUGGGACCUUCCGCUGCAUCUAGAAAAGAAAGGGGCGAGAUCUGUUUGUGUCAGCGUCCAGGUGUGCUCCUCGGCUGGCCAGCGUCCCUGGGCUGUGGCCACUUACUUAGCUCACAGUUGGGAGCAGCUGCUGCCGCCCUUGGCUGCUUCUUCCCCAUGGUGCAGGACUGGUUUGGCUUUUCAGAGCAGCGCAGCCUCUAUAUAUGCAGAGGAGUACGCCUCCCCUUGGCUAGAGAGAACACUUAAGGUACUGCUAUUGACCAUCUUUUCCUGGAAAAUCGGAAAAUCGUUCUUCAGGGUUCUUCAAAAUACCUGUGGGGCCAAGGAGAUAACGGCUUGGCAAGAAAGGUGUUUGCAGCGGAAGCCCAGUGAGCUGACUUGGAGCCGCCGAGGAAGCCAUACAAAGGUGGAAGGAAAGGUGGAAGGAAAGGUGGAAGGAAAGGUGGAAGGAAAGGUGGAAGGAAAGGUGGAAGGAAAGGACGGGUUCCUGAGCAGCCUCUGACCUCCACUCAAGCACAUCUUACACCCACCCCAUACAAUAAUGAUACAGAAGUUAAAAAAGCAACUAUGUGAUUGUUCUCUGGCUCCAUUGGCAUGGACCCCAGGGUCCCAAACCCAUGGGAAUUGGCAAAAAUCCCUCUGGUUGCCUGUAGGAAUGCUGUUGCCUGCUUGAGCCUACUGCUCCCCUGCAGAGACCUCCCACCUAGAGAGCUAACCUUUCCUCCUUCCCUGUCCAUAAUAAACAAGCUGAGGCUCU
rnacentral:lncRNA from 1 species